GAGGGUAUAGCUCAGUGGUAGAGUGGUAGAGUGGUAGAUUGAACCUGGGUUCAAUCCCUAGUACCUCCA
rnacentral:tRNA from 1 species